rnacentral:rRNA from 1 species
UACGGAGGGGGCAAGCGUUGUUCGGAAUUACUGGGCGUAAAGGGCGCGUAGGCGGCCUGCUAAGUCGAACGUGAAAUCCCUGGGCUCAACCCAGGAACUGCGUCCGAUACUGGUUGGCUUGAAUCCGGGAGAGGGAUGUGGAAUUCCAGGUGUAGCGGUGAAAUGCGUAGAUAUCAGGAGGAACACCGGUGGCGAAGGCGGGUCUCUGGGCAGUAACUGACGCUGAGGAGCGAAAGCGUGGGGAGCGAACAGG